rnacentral:rRNA from 1 species
AUGUUUUCUCCUUUUCAGCUAAAGGGAAAGGGGGGGGGACUUGCUGUGGUCUGGGGUGAUGCUUAUAAUCUGGAGUUGAACAAGUAUGGGGAGCAUUUCAUUGAUAUGUAUAUUUGUUCUGGCAAUGGUGCAAAAUGGAGAAGCACUUUUGUCUAUGGAGAGGCCAAGGCAAGUCAAAGGUAUGUAAUGUGGGAACUUUUGCGAAGAAUUAAACCCCUUGGUUCAGGACUGUGGUUUAUGGUUGGGGAUUUUAAUGAAGCGAUGUGGCAGAAUGAACAUUUUUCUCGCCAUCAGAGGUCUUCUUCCAUGAUGGCUAAUUUUAGGAGUGUUCUUUCUUACUGUAACCUUUUUGACUUGGGAUUUCAUGGUGUUCCUUGGACCUAUAAUAACAAGCAACAGGGCAACAAAAAUGUCAAAGUGAGACUGGAUCGGGCUGUUGCGUGUCCCCAAUGGUCUGCUUUGUUUCCAAAUUGCAAGGUGUCCCAUAUUAUCAGCUCAAGAUCUGACCAUUGUCCUCUACUCAUUCAAUUAUUGGGGUCUCCACGUGUUGGCAAAAUUGUUAAACAGCUCAGAUACGAGGUUUACUGGGAGAGGGAAGGGGUGGUUUUGGAGGAUCAAAUUAAAUCUUGCUGGAACGUCGGCACUCAUAAUUAG